UUUUUAUAAUUUUAUUAUUAAAGAAAUUUUUAUUAAAAUAAUUAAAUAAAUAAAAUUAUUUUAUUGGGGCGAUAAAAAAAUUAAUUAAACUUUUUUGAAUAAUCUAUUUUAAUUAAAAUUUUAUUUUUAAAGAGUUAUUAUUAAUAAUUUAAAGAAUAAAA
rnacentral:rRNA from 1 species